rnacentral:tRNA from 1 species
GGGGUUGUAGAUCAGUGGCAGAGUGCUUGCCUCACAUGUAUGAGGCCCUGGGUUUGAAUCUCAGCACCACA